AACCAACUCUCAGAAGACCGUUCGGUGGACAGAGCAGCACCUUAGAAAUCAUGUGACAUGUUGUAAUAAGUCCAUGUUGAUGGGACACGAUCAUCUACCAAAUUUCCCGUUUGUUUUUCCCUGGGAUGUUUUGCCCGAGUCUCUUCUUCAUUUCCUCCUUUCCAUCGAUAACUGCAGUGGAAAUUAAAUGCCAUUCACCUCCUUCGGGGUCCAGGUCGUGCCUCUUAGAAAAGCAAAUCAGUGUCGCUAAACUCUUUCUGAGUUGGUUCUGUAGAGUAACGACCGAGAGUGAACACCACGUUUGAAGAAACGUAAUUCAGACACGGCCUUUACUGAUGAGAACAAUUUUGCUAACGCGCGAAAGCUUUUUAUAAAGAGAAUAAUGUAAGAAGUAGAUGUAAUCAAAGGAAUGAGCCCUUUAGAUGACAGUUGGGUGAUAAUGAGAACUUGAUUCCAUGCUUAUGAGUUAUUUCGUUACUUUAGUCUAGUGGCCUGAAAGGUCCUUUAAAAAUCAUCUAGGUGGAUAUUUUAUAGGCAGCUAAUAGAGUGCAUGGUUGUUUCCAUUCAACUUUAAAAUAAACUUCAAAGUCCGAGAACUUUCUGUAUUACGUGGGGUUGUCGAAUUACAUACUGUUGAAAGGCAUGAUUUUCAUAUGCAAAAUAUCUUCCCAACAUGUGUCUGUUUUAAAAGGAUUCUUUUACUUAAAAUGUAAGAAUACAAAAAUAAAUACUUUAGCCAGGAAAAGUGGGUGAGCGCUUUAAGGAAGCGUGGGUCCCCUUUGAAACGUACCUUUGUCUCUAACGCCUGAGCCAUCCCUGAAGAUUAGAGACGGGACCCAAGGAGGGCUAUUCUUCAUCUUUUACCUGCUCAUUAAACGCCAGAUAGUUUUUUACUCAAUUAUGCAUCUGCCAAUGAAAAUAGCGAGCAAAGACAACAUCAAGGCCAUGUUUUCAUCUCCAUCGUGUUCCCUCGUGAAUUACAAGGUUGUGGGCUCUCCUGCAACACUUUAUAUUGACCCAGGCUUCAUAAAUCUGGUACAGGAGACUGAGCGGCUGAGCUCUAUGUUGUGAGCCUGUCUUUCUACCAACAGCAUUAAUCACUCGCUCGAGAGGAAGUAGCCGUGCAAGAGCGUUCUGCCUUCUGCUCUCGCCAGAAAGGACGUCUGAACAGAAGCCUUCAUGUUGCGCCUUUUCCCAGGGUUUUCAGUGCUUAGCCCUCUCUACAGGCUUCCAAGCCGUGAUCUCUCCUGUGCUCCUUAUGAGGCAGUGUCAAAAUAAGCCAAAAACAUACAAAGAAUGCUACACAUAUGAGAAAAAUCGUUGUAAGCUACAAUUUCUAAAGAUGGAGCUAAAAUUAAAAGGACAUUAGAUGCAUUUGUCUAUGAAAAAAAUUAAUCUUCCGUGUCCAGAGUCACUUGAAGUUGGAAAUGCAUCUGAGAUAGAAUGAUUUUUAUUCAGUUUUCUCCUUCAGGAAAUACUAAAUUUAACCGGAAACCAGCCAACACAUCUGUCUCUGAAAUGUUCCAGCAAAAGAUUCUAACUGUGGGCCCAAUAGGUUAUGCAUCUGGCCACCAGCGUUUUAAGCGGAAGAAAGGAGGGUUAUGACUAACACACAGGAAAUGGUGUUAUUCGAAUCAAAAAGUGAGGCUAGUGUGAAUGAGAUGAAAUAAAUGAGGUGGUUUUAGCUAGUACAAUCAUGCUGUUUCUCCCCAUUGUUUUAGUGCAUAAACAGAUGCAUCAGUACAUAUUUUUACUAAAGAAUCACUAAAAGUAAAUGCCCUUAUAUGUCCUUUUACAAGCUGGUUUUUCCUUUGCUCUCCUGUAACUUACUGGAUAACUCUCACGAGAGAUUUAAUUUCUUUUUUGGUAAUUGUUAACUUUUAUUUUUUGUCUUUUUCGGGCCACACCUGAGGCAUGUGAGGGUCCCAGGCUAGGGGAUGAAUCAGAGCUGUAGCCUCGGGCCUACGUCACAGCCACAGCAGGCUGGGAUCUGAGCCGCAUCUGCGACCUACCUCACAGCUCACGGCAAUGCCAGAUCCUUAACUCACUCGAACCUGCGUCCUUAUGGAUGCUAGGCAGAUUCGUUUCUGCUGAGCCAUGAUGGGAACGCCAUUAACUUUGUAACUUUUUUAUUGAAGUAGAGUUGAUUUGUAAUGUUGUAUUAUCUGGUGUACAGUAAAGCGAUUCAUGUGUUUAUAUAUAUAUAUUUUUUUCCAUUAUAGUGUGUCACAAGAUACUGAAUAUAAUCCCCAUGCCGUACAGCAGGCCUUGUUUAUCUGUUCGCACACAGUGCUUUGUACCUGCGAGUCCCCAGCCCCUGAUUUAUCCCUCCCCCCACAUUUCCCUCUGGGUGAAACCGUUAAGUCUGUGUCUGUGCGUUUGUUUUGUAAGGGGUCCAAGUCCUUUUGUAAGUCCUUUUAUUUAAAAAGUAAGAUGCAUCCUGCUGAACUCUGCUCUCCCUGACACCGCCCGCUAGUUCACAGAACACUUCCCUCUCUCCUCUGUUCUCUUAAAAAAGAAAAGUCAAAAGCUUCCAUGAAAUACAAAUUAUAUAGGUUGGUUUUACUUCUAAGGCAAAUCUGAUGGCAUUUUAUUGGGGAGAAACAAAGACUAGAGUUCUUAGCAUUUGUUUUAUUUUUUUCGUACUAGUGUGGAAGGCGUGUUACAGUUUCAGGAAACGUUGCUCCCAUCCUUUUUUCCAUCAUUUGUGAUACUUUCGGAAAACUGUUUAAACGAGUUGAACCGUAUACAAUUCAUCAGACUGAUUUCUUUCAUAUUGCUGGCAGUUUUAAUUACUAUCGAUAAUAUUAUUUGCCAAUUAUACUGAGUCAGGAAAUAGGAAGGUUAAUUGAGUUGACUUUUUAAAAAUAUAAAAUGUUAAUCAUUUUCCCCAGCUCUUUGUACGAUGGACUAAGGUUUUCAUCUCUAUCUGUCACUCACUGGCAGCUUGUAAAGCUGUGGACUCUCUCAGCUUUAUCUGUGUGAUAGAAACCGUUUUUAAUACUGCAAAAUCUCAUGGUGGAUAGAGAACCAGAUUGCCAAAAGAUUUGGUCAGGAGUUCCCGUCGUGGCGCAGUGGUUAACGAAUCCAACUGGGAACUAUGAGGUUUCAGGUUCGAUCCCUGGCCUUACUCGAUGGGUUAAGGAUCCGGCGUUGCCGUGAGCUGUGGUGUAGGUUGCAGACGUGGCUCAGAUCCCGCAUUGCUGUGGCUCCGGCGUAGGCCGGCGGCUACAGCUCCAAUUCGACCCCUAGCCUGGGAACCUCCAUAUGCUGCGGGAGCAGCCCUAGAAAAG
rnacentral:lncRNA from 1 species